UCAAGCUUAUCGAUACCGUCUACACCGAAGCUUGGGAUACAUCUAAUGUAUGGUAGGAGAGCGUUGUAUACGGGGUGAAGUCAGAGCGGAAGCGCUGGUGGACUGUAUACAAGUGAGAAUGCCGGAAUGAGUAGCGAGAAUUAUGUGAGAAUCAUAAUGGCCGAAAGACUAAGGUUUUAGAAGGAAGGUUCGUCCGCUUCUAGUCAGCCGGGAGCUAAGGCGAGGCCGAAAGGCGUAGUCGAUGCACAUACGGUGGAGAUUCCGUAGCCGCCAUUAAUUUAAACAGAGGGACACUUUCAAGGGGCAUGACCCGGGCGUUGGUAGACCCGGGCGUAAGGGACCGAAGAUUAGUAGGGAAGCAUGCUUUAAGGAAGGCGAGAAAAGCUCUGUGUAUAGAAGAUGGCGCCCGUACCGCAAACCGACACAGGUAGUCAGGAAGAGAAUUCUAAGGCCAACGGGAGAAGGGUAGUUAAGGAACUCGGCAAAUUGACCCCGUAACUUCGGAAUAAGGGGUGCUCACGAGAGUGAGCCGCAGUGAAUAGGUCCAGGCGACUGUUUAUCAAAAACACAGCUCUCUGCUAAAUCGAAAGAUGACGUAUAGGGGGUGACACCUGCCCGGUGCUGGAAGGUUAAGAGGAAGGGUGCAAGCUCUGAAUUGAAGCCCCAGUAAACGGCGGCCGUAACUAUAACGGUCCUAAGGUAGCGAAAUUCCUUGUCGGGUAAGUUCCGACCCGCACGAAAGGCGUAAUGAUUUGGGCACUGUCUCAACAAUGCACCCGGUGAAAUUGAAAUACCAGUGAAGAUGCUGGUUACCUGCGCCAGGACGGAAAGACCCCAUGGAGCUUUACUCCAGUUUGGUACUGGGAUCCGGUACUGCAUGUACAGGAUAGGUGGGAGGCUGAGAAUCGGUAACGCCAGUUGCCGAGGAGCCGCUGUUGGGAUACCACCCUUGCAGUAUUGGGUUUCUAACCAGCCGCCGUGACCCGGCGGUGGGACAAUGCCAGACGGGGAGUUUGACUGGGGCGGUCGCCUCCGAAAGGGUAUCGGAGGCGCUCAAAGGUUCCCUCAGAAUGGUCGGAAACCAUUCGAAGAGUGCAAAGGCAGAAGGGAGCUUGACUGCGACACCGACGGGUGGAGCAGGUACGAAAGUAGGACUUAGUGAUCCGGUGGUAUAAAGUGGGAUUGCCAUCGCUCAACGGAUAAAAGCUACCCUGGGGAUAACAGGCUUAUCACUCCCAAGAGUUCACAUCGACGGAGUGGUUUGGCACCUCGAUGUCGGCUCAUCGCAUCCUGG
rnacentral:rRNA from 1 species